rnacentral:rRNA from 1 species
ACUCCUACGGGAGGCAGCAGUGGGGAAUUUUGGACAAUGGGCGCAAGCCUGAUCCAGCCAUGCCGCGUGCGGGAAGAAGGCCUUCGGGUUGUAAACCGCUUUUGUCAGGGAAGAAAAGUUCCGGGUUAAUACCCUGGGAUGCUGACGGUACCUGAAGAAUAAGCACCGGCUAACUACGUGCCAGCAGCCGCGGUAAUACGUAGGGUGCGAGCGUUAAUCGGAAUUACUGGGCGUAAAGCGUGCGCAGGCGGUUGUGCAAGACAGAUGUGAAAUCCCCGGGCUCAACCUGGGAACUGCAUUUGUGACUGCACGACUGGAGUGCGGCAGAGGGGGAUGGAAUUCCGCGUGUAGCAGUGAAAUGCGUAGAUAUGCGGAGGAACACCGAUGGCGAAGGCAGCCCCCUGGGCCUGUACUGACGCUCAUGCACGAAAGCGUGGGGAGCAAACAGGAUUAUAUACCCUGGUAGUCCACGCCCUAAACGAUGUCAACUGGUUGUUGGGGAUUCAUUUCUUCAGUAACGAAGCUAACGCGUGAAGUUGACCGCCUGGGGAGUACGGCCACAACGUUAAAACUCAGAGGAAUUGACGGGUACCCUCACGUUCGGUGGAGCAUGUGGUUUAAUUCAAUGCAACUCCAAGAACCUUACCUACUCUUGACAUCCAGAGAACUUCCCCAGAUGCCUUUGGUGCCCUGCGGAACUCUGAGACCCGUCCUCCAU